AGUGAACGCUGGCGGUAGGCCUAACACAUGCAAGUCGAACGGCAGCACAGUAAGAGCUUGCUCUUACGGGUGGCGAGUGGCGGACGAGUGAGGAAUACAUCGGAAUCUACUUUUUCGUGGGGGAUAACGUAGGGAAACUUACGCUAAUACCGCAUACGACCUACGGGUGAAAGCAGGGGAUCUUCGGACCUUGCGCGAUUGAAUGAGCCGAUGUCGGAUUAGCUAGUUGGCGGGGUAAAGGCCCACCAAGGCGACGAUCCGUAGCUGGUCUGAGAGGAUGAUCAGCCACACUGGAACUGAGACACGGUCCAGACUCCUACGGGAGGCAGCAGUGGGGAAUAUUGGACAAUGGGCGCAAGCCUGAUCCAGCCAUACCGCGUGGGUGAAGAAGGCCUUCGGGUUGUAAAGCCCUUUUGUUGGGAAAGAAAAGCAGCAGGUUAAUACCCCGCUGCUCUGACGGUACCCAAAGAAUAAGCACCGGCUAACUUCGUG
rnacentral:rRNA from 1 species